UACUGAUGUAGACAUUUCAGCACGACAAAUUCAAUUCAUAUCUGGGAAAACCUGGAAGGGAACCCUAUUAGGAGUGACUACAUGACUGGCAAAAUAAAGCUUGACGACUUUAUAACCCACAAAAUGGACCUGGAGCAGACCAAUGAUGCCAUCAACCUCAUGAAGACUGGACAAUGCAUUCGAUGCAUACUGAAUAUAUCCAAUCAUUUAAUCUCCACUCAACUUCUACGCCACAGUUUGAGACAAUCGGAUGGGAACAGAUUGCUCAGACUUACCGCAGACACACUCAAUACUACUUUAAAGCACUGUAACUAUUUCUGAAAGGUGUAGAAAGAACUGAAGUAAUGGAACGAAUCUUAUGCCUGGCUAAAAAGUGAAUUAGGUUUCAUCAAAAACAAACAAGAAUUCAAUACAGAUGAAUCUCUUGGAUGAUCUUUUCAGUUGCUUUCAUAAGUCACUGCUGAAAUGUCUUUCCUUUGUGAUGAUUGUCUGAUGUUUGGCAUUUGUUGUAAAUUAAAAAUAAAU